GAAAGGAAUGCUAAUACCGCAUACGUCCUACGGGAGAAAGCAGGGGAUCUUCGGACCUUGCGCUAAUAGAUGAGCCUAAGUCGGAUUAGCUAGUUGGUGGGGUAAAGGCCUACCAAGGCGACGAUCUGUAGCGGGUCUGAGAGGAUGAUCCGCCACACUGGGACUGAGACACGGCCCAGACUCCUACGGGAGGCAGCAGUGGGGAAUAUUGGACAAUGGGCGCAAGCCUGAUCCAGCCAUGCCGCGUGUGUGAAGAAGGCCUUAUGGUUGUAAAGCACUUUAAGCGAGGAGGAGGCUACUUUAGUUAAUACCUAGAGAUAGUGGACGUUACUCGCAGAAUAAGCACCGGCUAACUCUGUGCCAGCAGCCGCGGUAAUACAGAGGGUGCAAGCGUUAAUCGGAUUUACUGGGCGUAAAGCGCGCGUAGGCGGCUAAUUAAGUCAAAUGUGAAAUCCCCGAGCUUAACUUGGGAAUUGCAUUCGAUACUGGUUAGCUAGAGUGUGGGAGAGGAUGGUAGAAUUCCAGGUGUAGCGGUGAAAUGCGUAGAGAUCUGGAGGAAUACCGAUGGCGAAGGCAGCCAUCUGGCCUAACACUGACGCUGAGGUGCGAAAGCAUGGGGAGCAAACAGGAUUAGAUACCCUGGUAGUCCAUGCCGUAAACGAWGUCKACUAGCCGUUGGGGCCUUUGAGGCUUUAGUGGCGCAGCUAACGCG
rnacentral:rRNA from 1 species